rnacentral:rRNA from 1 species
GAUGAACGCUGGCGGCGUGCCUAAUACAUGCAAGUCGAGCGAACAGAUGAGGAGCUUGCUCCUCUGACGUUAGCGGCGGACGGGUGAGUAACACGUGGAUAACCUACCUAUAAGACUGGGAUAACUUCGGGAAACCGGAGCUAAUACCGGAUAAUAUAUUGAACCGCAUGGUUCAAUAGUGAAAGACGGUUUUGCUGUCACUUAUAGAUGGAUCCGCGCCGCAUUAGCUAGUUGGUAAGGUAACGGCUUACCAAGGCAACGAUGCGUAGCCGACCUGAGAGGGUGAUCCGCCACACUGGAACUGAGACACGGUCCAGACUCCUACGGGAGGCAGCAGUAGGGAAUCUUCCGCAAUGGGCGAAAGCCUGACGGAGCAAAGCCGCGUGAGUGAUGAAGGUCUUCGGAUCGUAAAACUCUGUUAUUAGGGAAGAACAAAUGUGUAAGUAACUAUGCACGUCUUGACGGUACCUAAUCAGAAAGCCACGGCUAACUACGUG